rnacentral:tRNA from 1 species
GGGCGAGUGGUGAAAUUGGAAUACACGCAAGAUUUAGGAUCUUGUGCCGCAAGGCGUGCGGGUUCGAGUCCCGCCUCGCCCACCA